rnacentral:rRNA from 1 species
GGUUAAUCAUAGAAGGUAAUAAUCCUGUAGUCGAAAACGAAUUCUCUCUUGAGUGGAUCCUGAGUACGACGGAGCACGUGAAAUUCCGUCGGAAUCUGGGAGGACCAUCUCCUAAGGCUAAAUACUCUCUAGUGACCGAUAGUGAACCAGUACCGUGAGGGAAAGGUGAAAAGUACCCCGGAAGGGGAGUGAAAGAGAACUUGAAACCGUGUGCUUACAAGUAGUCAGAGCCCGUUAAUGGGUGAUGGCGUGCCUUUUGUAGAAUGAACCGGCGAGUUACGAUCUGAUGCAAGGUUAAGCAGAAAAUGUGGAGCCGUAGCGAAAGCGAGUCUGAAUAGGGCGAAUGAGUAUUUGGUCGUAGACCCGAAACCAGGUGAUCUACCCUUGGUCAGGUUGAAGUUCAGGUAACACUGAAUGGAGGACCGAACCGACUUACGUUGAAAAGUGAGCGGAUGAACUGAGGGUAGCGGAGAAAUUCCAAUCGAACUUGGAGAUAGCUGGUUCUCUCCGAAAUAGCUUUAGGGCUAGCCUCAAGUGAUGAUUAUUGGAGGUAGAGCACUGUUUGGACGAGGGGCCCCUCUCGGGUUACCGAAUUCAGACAAACUCCGAAUGCCAAAUAAUUUAACUUGGGAGUCAGAAUGUGGGUGAUAAGGUCCAUAUUCGAAAGGGAAACAGCCCAGACCACCAGCUAAGGUCCCAAAAUAUAUGUUAAGUGGAAAAGGAUGUGGCGUUGCCCAGACAACUAGGAUGUUGGCUUAGAAGCAGCCAUCAUUUAAAGAGUGCGUAAUAGCUCACUAGUCGAGUGACACUGCGCCGAAAAUGUACCGGGGCUAAACAUAU